CGGCUCAGUAACACGUAGUUAAUCUACCCUUAGGUUAUGGAUAAGCACGGGAAACUGUGUCUAAUACAUAAUAGGGGUUAUGGUCUGGAACGACCUUACCCUGAAACUCGUGCCUAAGGAUGAGACUGCGGAUGAUUAGCUUGUUGGUGGGGUAACUGCCUACCAAGGCGAUGAUCAUUACGGGCUCUUAGCGGAGUUGCCCGGAGACGGAAUCUGAGACACUAUUCCGAGCUCUACGGAGUGCAGCAGUAGCGAAUCAUUUACAAUGCACGCAAGUGUGAUAAUGCGAGCCAAAGUGCCAAUCGUUUAGAUUGGCUUUUUCUUACCGUAAAAACGUAGGAGAAUAAGGACUGGGAAAGACUGGUGCCAGCCGCCGCGGUAAUACCAGCAGUUCAAGUCGCAUCCACUUUUAUUGGGUCUAAAACAUCCGUAGCUUGUAAUUUAAGUCUCUUGUGAAAUCUCACGUCUCAAGCGUGAGGCUUGCAGGAGAUACUGAAUUACUAGAGAUCGGUAGACGUAAGCAGUACGCCGGGGGUAAUGGUAAAAUAUGUUAAUCCUCGGUGGACUAACAAUGAGCGAAGGCAGCUUGCGAGGACGAAUCUGACAGUCAGGGAUGAAGGCCAGGGGCGCAAAACGGAUUAGAUACCCGUGUAGUCCUGGCAGUAAACACUGCUCACUAAACAUCGGGCCCUCUUCGGGAGGAUUCGGUGCUGAAGCGAAGGCGAAGAGUGAGCUACCUGGGAAGUAUAGUCGCAAGAUCGAAACUUAAAGGAAUUGGCGGGGGAG
rnacentral:rRNA from 1 species